rnacentral:rRNA from 1 species
CCUACGGGAGGCUGCAGUGGGGAAUAUUGGACAAUGGGGGGAACCCUGAUCCAGCCAUGCCGCGUGUGUGAAGAAGGCCCUCGGGUUGUAAAGCACUUUCAGUGAGGAAGAACGCCUGGUGGUUAAUACCCAUCAGGAAAGACAUCACUCACAGAAGAAGCACCGGCUAACUCCGUGCCAGCAGCCGCGGUAAUACGGAGGGUGCGAGCGUUAAUCGGAAUUACUGGGCGUAAAGCGCGCGUAGGUGGCUUGAUAAGCCGGUUGUGAAAGCCCCGGGCUCAACCUGGGAACGGCAUCCGGAACUGUCAAGCUAGAGUGCAGGAGAGGAAGGUAGAAUUCCCGGUGUAGCGGUGAAAUGCGUAGAGAUCGGGAAGAAUACCAGUGGCGAAGGCGGCCUUCUGGACUGACACUGACACUGAGGUGCGAAAGCGUGGGUAGCAAACAGGAUUAGAUACCCUUGUAGUC